GAUUGCCUUAGUAACGGCGAGUGAAGCGGCAACAGCUCAAAUUUGAAAUCUGGCCUUAUGGUCCGAGUUGUAAUUUGUAGAGGAUGUUUUGGGUACCGUUGCAGUUUAAUUUUCUUGGAACAGAAUGUCAGAGAGGGUGAGAGUCCCGUCUGGAACUGCGGUAGGGCCUAUGUAAAACUCCUUCGACGAGUCGAGUUGUUUGGGAAUGCAGCUCAAAAUGGGUGGUAAAUUUCAUCUAAAGCUAAAUAUUGGCCAGAGACCGAUAGCGCACAAGUAGAGUGAUCGAAAGAUGAAAAGCACUUUGAAAAGAGAGUUAAACAGUAUGUGAAAUUGUUGAAAGGGAAGCGCUUGCAACCAGACUUGAGCGUGGCGGUUCCCCCUUGCUUUUGCUUGGGCUACUCCGUCAUGUCCAGGCCAACAUCGGUUCUAGGGGCUGGUUAAAGACUUUAGGAAUGUAUCUACCCUCGGGUAGACUUAUAGCCUAGAGUGUCAUGCAGCCUCCCGGGACCGAGGAACGCGCUUAGGCGAGGAUGUUGGCGUAAUGGUUGUAAGCGACCCGUCUUGAAACACGGACCAAGGAGUCUAACAUCUAUGCGAGUGUUAGGGUGUCAAACCCUUACGCGGAAUGAAAGUGAACGGAGGUAAGAAGCCUUAAGGCUGCAUUAUCGACCGGUCCUGAAGUUUACGGAUGGAUCUGAGUAAGAGCAUAGCUGUUGGGACCCGAAAGAUGGUGAACUAUGCCUGAAUAGGGUGAAGCCAGAGGAAACUCUGGUGGAGGCUCGCAGCGGUUCUGACGUGCAAAUCGAUCGUCAAAUUUGGGUAUAGGG
rnacentral:rRNA from 1 species